AGAAUCAACGCUGGCGGCGUGCCUAACACAUGCAAGUCGAACGAGAAAGUGGAGCAAUCCAUGAGUAAAGUGGCGCACGGGUGAGUAACACGUGACUAACCUACCCUUGAGUGGGGAAUAACUUCGGGAAACCGAGGCUAAUACCGCAUAACACCUACGGGUCAAAGGAGCAAUUCGCUUAAGGAGGGGGUCGCGGCAGAUUAGUUAGUUGGCGGGGUAAUGGCCCACCAAGACGGUGAUCUGUAUCCGGCCUGAGAGGGCGCACGGACACACUGGAACUGAAACACGGUCCAGACUCCUACGGGAGGCAGCAGUGGGGAAUUUGCGCAAUGGGGGAAACCCUGACGCAGCAACGCCGCGUGGAGGAUGAAGUCCCUUGGGACGUAAACUCCUUUCGAUCGGGACGAUUAUGACGGUACCGGAAGAAGAGCCCCGGCUAACUUCGCGCCAGCAGCCGC
rnacentral:rRNA from 1 species